AUUGAACGCUGGCGGCAGGCCUAACACAUGCAAGUCGAGCGGAGCGGCGGACGGGUGAGUAAUGCCUAGGAAUCUGCCUGGUAGUGGGGGAUAACGUCCGGAAACGGGCGCUAAUACCGCAUACUAUCAGAUGAGCGUAGGUCGGAUUGGCUAGUUGGUAGGGUAAAGGCCUACCAAGGCGACGAUCCGUAACUGGUCUGAGAGGAGGAUCCGUCACACUGGAACUGAGACACGGUCCAGCCUCCUACGGGAGGCAGCAGUGGGGAAUUUUGGACAAUGGGCGAAAGCCUGAUCCAGCCAUGCCGCGUGAGUGAUGAAGGUCUUCGGAUUGUAAAGCACUUUUAGUUGGGAAGCGUUACCAAAAGAGUAAGCACCGGCUAACUUCGUGCCAGCAGCCGCGGUAAUAC
rnacentral:rRNA from 1 species